GGGUGCAGGCCAGUUUUUCUCUCUCUCUCCUCUGCAGGGAUGGACGGGCAGGUGCACUACAUCUGAGGUGAUCACCACCCUUCUUAAGGAGCUGGAACCAGGAGGAGGGCGUCAGUUCGUUAACGUCACAGCGUUGAACCCUUGUUUCUGACCCCUGGACCCAGCCGUGAAUCAAAGACCUUGGACCCUCCGCCUGAGAUACAACCAAGAACCCGAGAAGGAUCUCGGGUUAACCACCGUUCAGCCCUCCUACCUGCGAUCGCCUGCCUGUCCACCCUCGAACCUCCAACCAGGAAGAGAGUACUGGUCAGCACACGGACCACCGGGGACACUUCCCCCCCAAGACCGGACCACAGCCUCUCUACUAAGCCCAGAAGAACCUGACCUGACCAAACUGCCUUCCAGUUCAUGUCCACUGCCUAGUUUCUAAAUAAAAUCUCUUAACCAUCUUCAGUCUCUGUAGUUGCUCUCAUCCAGAGUCACCUUCAUUAUGACAGAACGAACUGAC